rnacentral:tRNA from 5 species
GCCCCCGUAGUUCAGUGGAUAGAACACAGACGUCCUAAGUCUGGUGUCGGGGGUUCGAUUCCCUCCGGGGGUA